rnacentral:lncRNA from 1 species
UUAUAUGUGAAGGAUCCGAACGAUACCGACGUAACAUAGAUACGUGGAACACAUCAUGAAUCUUCUCUAAUUCAGGUGGUAAUGCUAGGCGAUAUGCUACCGGUCCAACUUUACCAAUUAUUUCAUAUGGUCCAAUAAAACGCAGACUUAACUUGCCCUUCCGUCUAAAUCUAAGGACUUUCUUCCAUGGAGACACUUUCAAAAAUAC